CAGCCGCCGCGGGAAUACGUAGGGUGCGAGCGUUAAUCGGAAUUAUUGGGCGUAAAGCGUGCGCAGGCGGUUCGUUAAGACAGAUGUGAAAUCCCCGGGCUUAACCUGGGAACUGCAUUUGUGACUGGCGAGCUGGAGUAUGGCAGAGGGGGGUAGAAUUCCACGUGCAGCAGUGAAAUGCGUAGAGAUGUGGAGGAAUACCGAUGGCGAAGGCAGCCCCCUGGGCCAAUACUGACGCUCAUGCACGAAAGCGUGGGGAGCAAACAGGAUUAGAUACCCCGGUAGUCCCUGUCUCUUAUAA
rnacentral:rRNA from 1 species